GCUCAGCUCGCACCUGCGCCAGGAGGGGCUGCUGCACGGGCUCACCUGCGCCGGGGCCAAGGCCGUGGUGUUCGGCACUGAGCUGGGAGCAGCUCUUUCAGAGGUGAGCACUGCCCUGGGCCCGAGGCUGCAGAAAUUCUCCUGGGGCUCCCCGGAUUUGGGGCCCAGCCCAGAGGGGUCCCAGGCCCUGGAGCCCCUCCUGGAGAGAGCCCCCAAAUCCCCCCCCGAGAACGGCCCCGGGAAGGGCCUGGAUGACCGCCUGUUCUACAUCUACACCUCGGGCACCACCGGCCUGCCCAAGGCGGCCAUCGUGGUGCACAGCAGGUGAGGGCGGGGCCGGGGGCGGGGCCAGGGCUGGGUGUGGCCACGGGAGUGGUCAGUGAAGGGCG